UGGGGAAUUUUGGACAAUGGGGGAAACCCUGAUCCAGCCAUCCCGCGUGUGCGAUGAAGGCCUUCGGGUUGUAAAGCACUUUUGGCAGGAAAGAAACGUCAUGGGUUAAUACCCCGUGAAACUGACGGUACCUGCAGAAUAAGCACCGGCUAACUACGUGCCAGCAGCCGCGGUAAUACGUAGGGUGCAAGCGUUAAUCGGAAUUACUGGGCGUAAAGCGUGCGCAGGCGGUUCGGAAAGAAAGAUGUGAAAUCCCAGAGCUCAACUUUGGAACUGCAUUUUUAACUACCGGGCUAGAGUGUGUCAGAGGGAGGUGGAAUUGCGCGUGUAGCAGUGAAAUGCGUAGAUAUGCGGAGGAACACCGAUGGCGAAGGCAGCCUCCUGGGAUAACACUGACGCUCAUGCACGAAAGCGUGGGGAGCAAACAGG
rnacentral:rRNA from 1 species